rnacentral:lncRNA from 1 species
GACCUUAAACAUAUUAAAAUUGCCAUAUAUCUGUUACUCAUAACUUCAAUUAUCAUGACAAGAAAGAUAUAUUCAAUAACUUGUUCUCAAUUCUAAGUUUGAUAGAAAAUGUCCUAGGAAUUAAGCUAAAAUAAAAUAUUCUAGAGAAAUGGAUUUUUGGAUUUGUACCAUACCUUGAAGGAAUAAGGUGUGGCACAUUUCUUAUUCAUACUACCAAAAUAAUAAUCACAGAUUACAAACAUAAUUAUCCUUUUGUCUCUUCUCUAACCUCACCAACCAGCCUCUAGAUUUUUCUGAAGAUAGUUUGGAUAGGUCUAAAACUAACUUAAAAAAUCCUCACAAAAAUAGAAGUAAUGUAUUAGUAGCACAAUUCUAAUAAAACUUUAUGCUAAAUUCUUCAUUCUCUCUUUUCAUUUCUAAACUAAUUAUUCAUUGUUCCAAUGUAUUAUUACUAGUUCUUUGCCAUCCAAUAGUUAUAUAUAUCCAUUAUGCCCAGAGAAUUAAUUGCAUGGACUUUCCUGCUAGAUAAUGAUAAUUAUACUUGCAAUUAAAAUUACAUUUGUUUCUGAUUUUAUGUAUUAUUUUUACACGUUGAUAUAUGUUCUUUUAUUGAAAAAAUGUUACACUAUCUAUUUUAUGUGUGGACAAUGCACAUAAUACUUUAAAAAAAAAAAAAAAAUAAGGAAAGUUAAAGGUCAUACCAGUAUUGUUUUUCCAUAAAAAUAUGCAUGUUUAAUUAGUGCUAACUUCAAAAGAAGUUAGUGUAUCAUAAAAAAGAAUCAAAGUGUUAAUUAGUAUUACAAUUCUAAUAAAGUUUUAUGUUAAAUUCUUUAAUUGCUUUUACAAUGUUUUUUAAGUUGAAUCACUCAUUGGCCAAUAAUGGUGUGUUAUUUCUGUUCAAAUGAGUGCCAACAGUAACAUACGGUGAAUUUAAUAUAAUACUGUAAGAAAACAACUGCAGUAUAUAUAUUCGGGUAAGGACACGAUUUAUAACAUUCAUGGAUAUGUCACCUACAUAUUUACAUCCCUUUUUCUUAAAGUUAGCAUUACUUAAACACACUCGUAAUUAUAGUUAUACCUCCCCUAUUUUUACACUACUCCCUAUGUACUAUAUAAUAGUAUUUUUUAAGGAAAAUUUGUUAAUUUUUAUGUCAUUUUUAAAAUUUCAAGAUAGCAUAUUUUUUCCAAUUCUAUUUUUAAGGAAAAUUACCCUUAUUUUUUGUUUUAUUAUGCAUUGAAAAUUGUUUGGAGAGAAAAAACUGAAAGGGGUAUAUUAGGUAAAUCACUUAACAAUUGCACUAAAAAUCAAAUAAUUAAAUGUUUUUCUUGGUUUGGGUGAAAGAACCGUAAAAUACUAGUAUAUAGCAACCGAGAGAGUGUGUGUGUAUAUAUAUAUAUAUAUAUAUAUAUAUAUAUAUAUAUAUUAAAUUCUACUAUUUUUAAUAUUCUUUUUCUAAUAAAAAAAUAUUAUAACAGUGUACUAAAAAGUCGGAUAGUUUUUUUUCUUGAAAAGGGAGGUAGUAUGUACUAAAUAUACUCUCAACAUGUGUUAUUAAGGUUAGUGUAAUUAUCCUUAAAAAAAAGGGAUGCAUGUGUUAUUAAGGUUAGUGUAAUUAUCCUUAAAAAACAGAAUGAAUGUGAUAUGCAUGUAGAUUAUUAUUCCUUUUAUGAUUUUAGUUUAUAAGUAAGUUGGUUUAUGGUUGAAGAGUGAAGAUGUGGGACGUGCAUGGAGGUUUGAGUAGAUGAAAAGGUUCAAAAUGAGUGAUUUUGUUAUCGAACUGGAAGGAAUUUGGUCGCAGAAGCUGACAAUGGCAAUAAGAAAGAUGUGAUGUGAUGUGAUGUGCAGGUUGGGUAGUGAAAUAUGAAUUGGGAUCUUAAAGGCAGUUAGUUUUGGUUUUGGCACAAAAGUGAUUAAGCUACUACUAUGCUACACAUGGUGUUUGUUGCGUUUACCACAAUAAAAAGUUACACUUGGCACGGACUCACCGAUGCCAGAGAGAAAGGGAACCAAGGACAAGGAGAGAACAAAAAAGGAGACAAACAGUGGAAACGCUAUUCACGCCAAUCCAUGCACCAGUAAGACAAAAAAAAAACAGAUAGCAUCCCAUAAAACUAUGCUCUCUGCCCAACUUGUUUAUGCUUACCAAGAAAGCAAACGGCUCCUGGUAUUGCACAAUGCACUCAUUCAACACAUCAAUUCAUGACCACUCUUUCAAAUUCAUUAAAUAAAUAAACCAAACACUCUCUCUCUCUCUCCCACACACACACACCACACACCACACACAUUAUUAAAUAUCCUCAAAGGUUUACCAAUGCCAAAGCAUAAACAUAUCAACGGGUAAGAAAAAAAAAUGACAGCUAAGUAACUGCUCCUCCUCUGUCAUAUAAUAAGUAUUAUUUAAGACUAAAAUAAAGUCUUGCUGUUGUUUUAUUUUAAAAUUAAUAUCAAUUGCAUUUUAUUUAUGCUUUUC